rnacentral:rRNA from 1 species
GACGAACGCUGGCGGCGUGCCUAACACAUGCAAGCCGAGCGAGGAGAUUCCCUUCGGGGAUGAACCUAGCGGCGGACGGGUGAGUAACACGUGGGCAACCUGCCUUGUAGAGGGGAAUAGCCUUCCGAAAGGAAGAUUAAUACCGCAUAACAUGGCUUUAUCGCAUGAUAAGGUAAUCAAAGGAGCAAUCCGCUACAAGAUGGGCCCGCGGCGCAUUAGAUAGUUGGUGAGGUAACGGCUCACCAAGGCGACGAUGCGUAGCCGACCUGAGAGGGUGAUCGGCCACAUUGGGACUGAGACACGGCCCAAACGCCUACGGGAGGCAGCAGUGGGGAAUAUUGCACAAUGGGGGAAACCCUGAUGCAGCAACGCCGCGUGAAUGAUGAAGGUCUUCGGAUCGUAAAGUUCUGUCUUCAGGGACGAUAAUGACGGUACCUGAGGAGGAAGCCACGGCUAACUACGUGCCAGCCGCCGCAGUAAUAC